AUUUGUAGCGGUCCUCAGCUCGCGUCCAUGACCCGCAGCCUCCGGGCGGGACCGCCGGGGCCGGGAUCGAAGCACAGAGCGAGCCCGGUCCCCGCGGCUGCGCGGGGGAAGACCGAGCGGCGAGCAAAGGGAGCAUUUAUAAACUAUAUCGAUAUUUCACUGAAAUUCAGGGCAGAGCAGCGACGGGGGCGCUCAGGUUCGGCCAGGAUUAGCCCUAAACGAGCCGGGCAAACCCCCGACCGCUCAAGGGAAGCGGAAGUCAGUAACCGGUAAUCGCCUAGGACCCCGUGAGGAAUUUCCUCCGUAAUCACAAACCCAGCACGCAGGGGAUUUAUGCGGCAGAAUCCCAAUUUCGGCCACGGCACCCGGAGGAGAAGACCGGUUCUCUAUCGCGGAAAUGAAAGCCCAGCACCCCGGCGUUUCGGGGACGGACAGCGGGACACGAGGAUUGCAGUUUCCUGAAGUUCUAGGUCACGUCAAGUGCGAUACUUCAGAUUCUCUCAGCAGAUUCAUCGUGACACAAAAGGGAACCGCUGCGGCAGCUUUCCUUAGCAGCAGAUCGGUCUCUCCAAUGGAUUCGCUUCGGAGAGAUAAAUGCGGAUGGAUCGACCUCCCGGCAGAGCGCCCCGUCCCAGAUGAGGGGAUCCCCCUGAGAAGG